rnacentral:rRNA from 1 species
AUUGAACGCUGGCGGCGUGCUUAACACAUGCAAGUCGAUCGGUAACAGGUGUAGCAAUACAUGCUGACGAGAGGCGGACGGGUGAGUAAUGCUUGGGAAUCUGCCUAUUAGUGGGGGACAACCCGGGGAAACUCGGGCUAAUACCGCAUACGCUCUACGGAGGAAAGCCGGGGACCGCAAGGCCUGGCGCUAAUAGAUGAGCCCAAGUCGGAUUAGCUAGUGG